GAGCAGUCCUUGUCCUUGUCAGUCAAUGAGCCCAAACGGCUCUUUUCUGUGUACCGAAGCUAGAGCCAAACGGCACUGUAUUUUCUCAGUUCAAAAUAACCCUCUCGGACAGAGACACAGGGCCACAUGAUGAAAACACGUGUCAUACAUCCGUGUAAUAAACUCCUUAGGAUUCCAAUAGAGACGCUGAAAUGUGUUACAGUCACCCAUUGUUAUGUCAGAUGGCAUUUAGAACCCCUAGACCGCAUUAUUUCUCGCAAGCUGCACCUCUAUAAUAGAUUUCUCUCUCUUAUCUCUCAGAAGUUCAGAACCCAUUUCUCUCCAAAAUGAAAAGAAAAAUUUCCGUCUCUCUCUAGAAAAUCCGAAGAGACUCACGUAGCUCUUGCCAUGUUCAAAACUCGUAACCCAACCAGUAAGUCAAACCUCCAUGUCACAGCAGCUCCUGCAUCCUCUCAAAGAGGUGUCUCCGUAGCCUUCCAAAACCGUAACAAACAAACCUCUGUGAGUCCCGAGCCGUGGUAGAGUGAGCUGAAAAGUGAUGAUGCUGAAGGUAAAAAUCCUUCUCAAUUUGUGUUACUUCCGUGUCAGCUUGAUGUAUUUGGGUGAAAGGAAACAAGAUCUAACACAUGCAUGUGUGUUUAUCCGUAGGAAGUCCUCCAAACUUGCAGAUCUGAGCCGAUGUACACCACACACUCGGAUUGUCAGCAAAAUCCGAAACCAGUUAGUGUCUGCCAUAGAAAUGAUGCACAGUGCAGCUCCAAUCAUCCCACAGAGGUACACAUCUUCACACCAACUAUCGUAGUGUGAUGAUUUCCAUGUCGCCUAUCUCCACCAUGCAAAUGUAUAAGCUAUGUGUCUUGUUGGUGUGCAAAGGUGCUUGAGCUGGAUGCUGGACAGCAGUAAGGACACGACAACAGAGGCGACAUUGCGGACCGGAGGCAUGCAGAGGUAAAAAUUUUGUUCUCCACCAAUGAUGACCCCCAAAUUGAUACACCUGUUUCCAAUGGAACUCAUCCACUUUGAUUGUUCUGUUGCAGGGAAAAUGCCCCAGAUCGGCAAAGGAAACGUGAUGACAAAACCAUUAGCUUACACUGAAGAAUGGCCGCUUAGCAAAAGAGAGAGGUACUGGAUGCAUGAUUCCGUCUAAAAUGAUCUCUUUGUGCAUUAAGUUUUGUUUGUCUUGUUUGCUGGCUGCAUAAAAAUCAGGUGUUGAAAUCAGAGAUAAAAAUGUAGAAGAUACUAUCGGUAAAAUAAAAUAAGUAAAAGCAAAGAAUGUUUUGUUUGUUUUUUUUUUUUAAUUUUUAAAUUUUUUUUUAUUUUAAUUUUUAAUUUUUAAUUUAUUUUUUAAUGAACAGGAAAUGCAGCCUAGGAAUUUAAAUGCAGCUAGAAAUUGAAAGUAAUGAAAGAAAAACGAAACAAAGUAAAGAAAAAGUUAGAAAGUUGGGUUGCCUCCCAAUAAGCGCUUUAUUUAAGGUCUGUAGCUAGACGUUGCAGAAAUCUGGUGGCUAAGUCACUGGAUCCCUCAGAGUUAAUGACUUGCGUGCUGUGUCAUAGGGUGAUUCCAAGUAUGGUUUGAGCCUGUGACCAUUGACCUUGAAUUCAUGACCUGUGACCUCAUUUUUUAUCUCCAAAGCCCCAUGCGAAUAAACCUUAGUGACCACAUAGGGCCCUGUCCAAUGUGACUUAAGUUUGCCUGGAAACAACUUUAAUCUGGAAUUGAAAAACAACACCUUUUGCCCUGUGUAGAAUUCCCUGUGAAGGAUUUUACUGUCAUGAAAUGCCUUAGUCUUGUCUUUGUAGAUUUUUGAACUUUCAUAUGCAUCAUUACGAAUCUCAUAGAGCUCAUUGAGCUCCAACUUACGCUCUCCCCAGCUGAAUCAUAUGCAAAAUUUAGCUCCUUAAUAGCCCAAAACGCCUUGUGCUCUAGUUCCAUAGGUAAAUGACAUGCUUUCCCAUACACAAGUCUAAAUGGCGAUAUCCCAAUUGGGGUUUUAAAAGCUAUCAUGUAAGCCCACAGCGCACCAUUUAAUUUUAAACUCCAAUCCUUACGUGUAGAGCCAACUAUUUUCUCCAAAAUCCGCUUUAAUUCUCUGUUUGAAACUUCCACUUGACUAGAUGUCUGUGGAUGAUAGGGUGUAGCCACGCGAUGAGUAAUCCCAUACUUUGCUAAUAAAGCAUCAAACUGUUUAUUAAUAAAAUGCUUCUCCCAUCACUAAGAAUCACACGUGGAAUUCCAAAACGUGGAAAUAUAACCCCCUGGAGGAAUUUCAGUACCACUGAUCCUUGAUUAGUUGGUGUUGCAAUGGCCUCGACCCAUUUAGAAACAUAUUCCACAGCAACUAAAAUGUACUGAUUCCCGUGAGAUGAUAUGAAUGGUCCUAUGAAAUCAAUACCCCAAACAUCAAAUAACUCAACAAUUAGAAUAAUUUGCUGGGGCAUCUCAUUCCUCUUGGAUUGGUUGCAGACUCUUUGACACCUGUCACAAGCUCUGCACCAAUUAUUUGCAUCUUUAAAUAAUGUAGGCCAAAACAACCCACUUUGCAGAAUUUUCUCUGCUGUAAUUUUCUGUCCAAAAUGUCCCCUACAUGCAUACUGAUGAGAAAAACGCAAAACACUGUCUUGUUCAACCUCAGGAAUGCAUCUGCGAAUAAUCUGGUCGGGACAAUACUUAUAUAAGUAUGGUUCAUCCCAGAAGUAAUGCUUGACAUCAGACAAAAACUUCUUUUUCUGCUGAAAUGAAAAAUCGGGAUGCACAACACCCGUAGCCAAAUAAUUAACAAGAUCAGCAAACCAGGGUGUAUUAAUUUGGGCAGCAAAGAGCUGCUCAUCUGGAAAACUCUCACUCAAUGGUAGAGAAUCUGCCUCCUUAGUUGCUGGAAUAAUUAAUCUGGAUAAAUGGUCAGCCACCACAUUUUCACUGCCCUUCUUGUCUUUAAUCUUGAGGUCAAAUUAUUGAAGUAAAAGAACCCAACGAAUCAACCUAGGCUUUGCAUCCUUCUUAGACAACAAGUAUUUUAAUGCAACAUGAUCCGUAUAAACAAUUAUCUUAGCCCCAACCAAAUAAGACCGAAACUUCUUUAAUGCAAACACAACUGCCAACAAUUCUUUCUCUGUGGUAGCAUAGUUGAGCUGUGCAUCAUUGAGUGUACGACUUGCAUAAUAAAUGACAUGGGGAAGCUUGUCUUUCCGCUGUCCUAAAACUGCCCCAACAGCAUAAUCUGAAGCAUCACACAUUAAUUCAAAUGGUAAACCCCAAUCUGGUGCAGCAAUGAUGGGUGCCGAAGUUAGGAGUGAUUUCAACUUGUUGAACGCUUCUAAGCAAGCCUCAUCGAAGUUAAAUGGUGCAUCUUUAGCCAAUAAAUUGCACAAAGGUCGGCUGAUCUUGGAGAAAUCCUUGAUGAACUGACGAUAAAAUCCUGCAUGUCCCAAAAACGAUCUAACACCUUUUACUGAUGUAGGGGGUGGCAACUUUGCAAUCACAUCAAUUUUAGCUUUGUCAACUUCAAUGCCUUUGCUAGAAAUUGAAUGACCCAAAACAAUGCCCUGUUUCACCAUAAAAUGACACUUUUCCCAAUUUAGCACUAAAUUUGUUUCUUAACAUCUCUCAAGAACUAAUGACAAAUUAUGUAGGCACUGAUCAAAUGAAUCUCCAAACACAGAAAAAUCAUCCAUAAAAACUUCCACAAUUCUUUCAACCAAGCCAUAAAAGAUACUCAUCAUACAACGCUGAAAAGUGGCGGGUGCAUUGCAUAAUCCAAAUGGCAUCCUCCGAUAGGCAAAUGUCCCAAAUGAGCAUGUAAAUGUUGUCUUCUCUUGAUCCUCUGGUGCAAUUGGAAUCUGAUUGUACCCAGAAUAGCCAUCCAAGAAACAAUAAAUAGCCCUGCCAGCCAAUCUUUCUAACAUUUGGUCAGUAAACGGUAGAGGAAAAUGGUCUUUUCGUGUACUUGCAUUUGGCUUCCUAUAAUCCACACACAUACGCCAGCCUGUAGUUAAGCGCGUAGGAAUAAGCUCAUUGUUGUCAUUUUGAACUACUGUCAUGCCAGUACGUUUAGGAACAACCUGCGUAGGACUCACCCAUUUACUGUCUGAAAUAGGAUAAAUCAUACAUGCAUCAAGUAAUUUCAUAACCUCUGUUCUGACCACCUCUUUCACAAUUGGGUUAAGGCGGCGUUGAGCAUCAAUUGUUGGCUUCACGUCGUCUUCCAUUAAAAUUCUGUGCAUACAGAUUGCUGGGCUAAUACCCUUGAUGUCAGCAGUUGUCCAUCCUAGUGCGUCUUGAUAUUUCCUCAAAACACGAAGCAAUUUAUCUUCCUCUGUGGGAGUUAAAUCAGCUGCAACUAUAACUGGCAGCGUUUCUGCAGCCCCUAAAUGUGCAUAUUUUAAAUGUUCUGGUAAGGGUUUCAGCUCUAAUUUUGGUGGCUGCUAUCUGGACGGCUUAAGGGGCUGUUUUGGCUCCCCUAAGCUCUCGUAAACAUUUCUAAACCUUGGCAACUAUGUGGGCAGACUAUCUAAUGCGUGAAUGUAGUCAAGAACACCUUCAUCUGCAGAAUCUGUCCCAAUUUCCCCUUGUAAAACGUGCAGCAAUUGAUCUGUAUUUGAACGGGCAUAAAAACUAUCUUGAACCAUACUGUCUAACACAUCAAUGCGCAUACAAUCUUGCUAUUCAGCAGGACGUUUUUCUGCCUUAAACAAAUUAAAUACCACAGACUGGUCUUGAACUUGUAAAGUUAGUGUUCCAGCUUCCACAUCAAUUAAAGUCCUAGCUGUUGCCAUAAACGACUUCCCCAAAAUGAUAGGUGUUUGAAGGUCCUCAUCCAUGUCUAAAACCACAAAAUCCGCCAGGAGAUAAAGAUUGUCAACCUUAAUAAUAAGAUCUUCAAUAACACCUCUUGGAUAAGUGAUUGAACGGUCAGCUAGUUGAAGUAUAAUUGAUGUAGGCUUUAAAUCUCCUUGUCCCAAUCGCUGGACAACAGAAAAAGGCAUCAAAUUAAUACUCGCACCCAAAUCAAUUAAAACACUUUUAAAAUCAGAAUUUCCAAUAGUACAAGAAAUAUUAAAACUCCCUGGAUCUUUUUUUUUUAUGUGGUAGUUUGUGUAGCAAAACUGCACUGCACUGUUCUGUCAAUAAAACUUUGUUCAAAUCUGCAAGCUUCUUUUUGCUACUACAAACUUCUUUCAGAAAUUUGGCAUAUGAUGGUAUUUUCUUGAUUGCAUCUAGCAAUGGAAUGUUGAUUUGAACCUUGGAUAAUGUCUGCAUGAAAUCUUUGAGUUGCUGAUCUCGUGCUUUAGGAAUUACACGUUCAAGGUAAGGCAGUGGAGGGUCAUAAACACGCUGAGAAAUCUGUUUUGGGACUGUUUCUGUACUGUGCAGAUUCUGUUUUUCUGCAGAUUUGUCAGGUUCUGCUGCUGGCAUUUCAGAUUCUGCAGUAAUUGGCACUGCAGGCAGAUUCUGUUCAGUACAAUUUGCACGAUUGUCAUAACUUUUUCCACACCGUAAAGUCCGAACAACAUUGCAGUUUUCAUGUCCUCUUGGAUUAGGCACUGUUUGACUAGGAAAUUUGCCUUUUUCUCUGUCUGAAAUCUGUGCAGCUAGUUGCCUAAAUUGUUGCUCCAAACUUUUAAUUGAUGCUUCAACAUUUUGAAUUCUUUGAUUGCUGCCUUCCAUGAAUGUUUGUGUUGUAGCUGCCAGUUUAGAAAGUUGAUCUUCCAAGGAUGGUUUUGAUGGCAUAAAAGGUUUUUGUACAUGCUGGAAUGGUUUUGAAUUAUUCUGAUUAUCACCCCAUUUGAAAUUAGGAUGAUCCCUUCAUCCUGGAUUGUAAUGAGUUGCAUAUGCAUCAUUCCUAGGCCUUUGAUAGCUGUUCAUCAUAUUAACAUGUUGCUCCACAAGCUCUGGGUAAGAUUCUUUAUGUGGACAACCCAAUAUGUUGUGUGUAGCCAUGCUGCAGAUAGUGCAAACUGUUGCUGCAGGUGGCUGCUGCUGUGUAGAAUUUGCUAUAUGUUGUAGAAUAAUGUCAAACUUGGCAUCAAUUUUCUUCUCCAUUUUUUCCAUUUGUGCAGACAUAUUAGGAGAACCUGCUGAUAACUCAAAAAUGCCCCUUUUCUGUGAAUGUUCUGUUGCCCAUUGUUGAGAUUCUGUAGCCAUUGUAUCAAAUAAUUCAAAUGCUUCUCUUGUAGAUUUAUUUGACAAUGAACCCCCAGCUGAUGCAUUAACAUGGCUUUUGGAUGUAGGAUUAAGCUCAUCAAAGAAAAUAUUCAUUUGUGUAUCUGGAUCAAUAUUAACAUGUGGACAUUUUAUAUACAUCUCUGUAUAUCUCUCCAACGCUUCAUGAAAUUCUUCGUUUGGCUUUUGAGUGAAUGUCAUAAUCUCCUGCUUGUAAUUCAAUGUCUUGGAUGCCGGAUAAUAUUUGUUCAGGAAUCUUGUAUGCAAUUGUUGCCAAGUAGUAAUGCUAUUAGCUGGUAGAGUGAAUAACCAAG
rnacentral:lncRNA from 1 species